GAUGAACGCUGGCGGCGUGCCUAAUACAUGCAAGUCGAGCGAACAGACGAGGAGCUUACUCCUUUGACGUUAGCGGCGGACGGGUGAGUAACACGUGGAUAACCUACCUAUAAGACUGGGAUAAUUUCGGGAAACCGGAGCUAAUACCGGAUAACAUGUUGAACCGCAUGGUUCAACAGUGAAAUACGGUCUUGCUGUCUCUUAUAGAUGGAUCCGCGUCGCAUUAGCUAGUUGGUAAGGUAACGGCUUACCAAGGCAACGAUGCGUAGACGACCUGAGAGGGUGGUCGGCCGCCCGAGAACUGGGACACGGUCCAGGCUACUACGGGAGGCAGCAGUAGGGAAUCUUCCGCAAUGGGCGAAAGCCUGACGGAGCAAGGCCACGUGAGUGAAGAAGGUCUUCGGAUCGUAAAACUCUGUUAUUAGGGAAAAACAAAUGUGUAAGUAACUAUGCACGUCUUGACGGUACCUAAUCAGAAAGCAACGGCUAACUACGUG
rnacentral:rRNA from 1 species